UACUGUACGUCUGCACGAUGAAAUUGCAUUCUCUACAUUGCGCGUGCGUUUAUAAAAUAUAUAAUAUCGAAUUUAGCAUGAAAUAACAGUUAUUUCAACGAUGUUGUAGAAUCAUAUGUUAUAUAGAUUCGUGUAGGAAUCGGCAGAUGCGCAGAAAACGAUUCAAAUUAUGAUACUUAUAUCUUGCAUGCGCAAUAGAUUGUAGAUUAGAUUUCCAGGUUUUUUGAUCAUAGAUGGUAGAUCUCUUUCGCGAGCAAUUUUGCAUGGAGAAAUAUGAUUUGUCGUGGUUAAAAAAAUGAGAUUGAAAUUGAACAUCAACAUACAAAUCCAGGUUGUGCCAUUUGCAAAAAACGUUUCCAUUCUUCUAUCGGUAAUCUAGGCUACACCAAUGCAUCAUUAAAUUGAGAAAGGUGAUCAAAUUAUAGACAUUCCAAUUUCUGGUUUACCUUUUGAUCUUCGUUUGAUAUUCCACUAUGUCCACAAUUCUCUUCUGCAUGGUAUUCUCGCUGGUAAUCGAUCCA